ensembl:misc_RNA Y_RNA Y RNA
GGCUGAUCCAAGUGCAGUGGUGUUUACAACUAAUUAAUCACAGAUUUCUUUGUCCCUUCUCCACUCCCACGGGUUUACUUGUCUAGCCUUUA